rnacentral:rRNA from 1 species
UCAGGACGAACGCUGGCGGCGUGCUUAACACAUGCAAGUCGAACGGUAAGGCCCUUCGGGGUACACGAGUGGCGAACGGGUGAGUAACGCGUGAGUAACCUGCCCUUCACUCUGGGAUAACAGUUGGAAACGGCUGCUAAUACCGGAUAUUCAGCUCCUGUCGCAUGGUGGGGGUUGGAAAGUUUUGGUGGUGGAGGAUGGGCUCGCGUCCUAUCAGCUUGUUGGUUGGGUGAUGGCCUACCAAGGGCGUCGACGGGUAGCCGGCCUGAGAGGGCGACCGGCCACAUUGGGACUGAGAUACGGCCCAAACUCCUACGGGAGGCAGCAGUGGGGAAUAUUGCACAAUGGGCGGAAGCCUGAUGCAGCAACGCCGCGUGCGGGAUGACGGCCUUCGGGUUGUAAACCGCUUUCAGCAGGGACGAAGCGUGAGUGACGGUACCUGCAGAAGAAGCACCGGCUAACUACGUG